rnacentral:rRNA from 1 species
CAGUCGCCACGGUAAUACGUAGGGUGCGAGCGUUAAUCGGAAUUACUGGGCGUAAAGCGUGCGUAGGCGGCUUGGUAAGUUAGAGGUGAAAGCCCGGAGCUCAACUCCGGAAUUGCCUUUAAGACUGCCGAGCUAGCAGGUGAGAGAGGUAAGUGGAAUUCCGAGUGUAGAGGUGAAAUUCGUAGAUAUUCGGAAGAACACCAGUGGCGAAGGCGGCUUACUGGCUCAUACUGGACGCUGAGGUGCGAAAGCGUGGGGAGCAAACAGGAUUAGAUACCCGCGUAGUCCCUGUCUCUAUACA